GUGACUGCUUGAAGGUGGCUAGACGAGAGCAUACUGCCACCACUCUUUAUUUGGAGGCCUGUAACCUGUCUUGAGUGUGUCGCAGGAAGACUCAGUUACAGUGUUCCCUGAAUAUGUAGCUUUCCAUUACAAUAGUAUGCAAGCCAAGAUGAAACCACCUCUGUUUGGGUUUCAGCAGCUGUCUGCCUACGGAAGGCUCCAGAGUCCCUGACGCAUAUUUAUAUCUCCACUUCACUGAAGUCACAAGGAACAAACACGGUGGAAGCCACAUGUGCUGUUAUUAAGUGGAAAUGUCUCGUGAACAUGUGGAAAGUGAUGACUGGAACUUCAGAUGAAAGUCAAAGCUGGAGAUAGGAGAUUCAGAAGUCACCCCACCAAAGAAGGAAUGGUUAAAGCUAUAAGAACUAAUGAGAUCCUAUUUAUUUGCUUAUUCAAUCAACAUACGUAGAACUAAAUGCUAAGAAUGUAAUGAUAAAUAAGACAGAAAGGGACCUUGCCCAUAUGGUAUUUACAAUCUACGGCCAGUUCAUAAUCUCCUAAAAAAUAAUGUAGAGAACAAUAACAGAAUCAAAGAAAUCUUGAACGUCUAUAUUUAAGGGGUUGAAUGUAAAAGAAAAGGCCUUAAAGGAGGCAGAAAAAUAGCAAUGAGAAAAGUUUGGGAAUUCUAAAACAAGACAGUAUUUCAGAGGAAGAAAACGCAGGUAAUACAUGGGCAAGUUUCACACACAGAGGUGAUGCAUCCUGGUGACCAAUAUUACAAGGAAGACAGAUGAUGACUGAGGACAGGCUGGUGGACUUGAUUUGAGGUCAACGGUAUGAGGAUAAUUUCAGCAGAGUGGUGGGAUGGAGCGAAACAGCAGCUUGUUUUCCCAAACUGUGGUGUUGCCUUGCCCUUGAGAACCCAGCUGAGGUCUAGACUGUUUCAUGGAUCACCUAAGCUUGGAGCUACAGUUGGGCUGCAAAGUUGUUCCUCUAGUGCUGAUACAAGAACAUAGCUGGUCCUCUUGUUCAUAGUGGUAAAAUAUUUUUAAAAUGUGACAUAAACACAACAUAUUAAUUACAGAAAUGAUGGAGAGAGAAUAAAGCUGGGACCCCACAAAGUCA